AUGGUGAUAGCUGGUUCUCCUCGAAACCACUUUAGGGUGGGCCUGCUGUCAAGAUCCCAAGGGGGUAGAGCUCUGGUAAGGCUAGGGGUGUCGAGAGGCAUUACCAAACCUUGCUAAACUUCGAAUACUUUAAGGAAUACAGUGGAGUUACACUGCGGGGGAUAAGCUUCGUAGUGGAAAGGGAAACAGCCCAGAUUUCUAGCUAAGGUCUCAAAGAGAUGGCUAAGUGGCAAAGGAGGUGCACUCGCAGAGACAUCUAGGAGGUUUGCUCAGAAGCAGCAAUCUUUUAAAGAGUGCGUAAUAGCUCACUGGCCGAGCAGGUAUGCGCCGAAAAUGUAAGGAGGCUUAAGUCACUCACCGAAGCCGAAGGUCUACACGGAUAGUGUAGGCGGUAGAGGAGCGUUCUAUACACGAUGAAGUCAACUCGUAAGGGUUGAUGGAGUGUAUAGAAGUGAAAAUGUUGGCAUGAGUAACGACUGGAGGUUAGAAUCCUCCACGCCGGAAGCCUAAGGAUUCCACAGCAACGUUCGACGACUGUGGGUUAGGCGGGACCUAAGGUUAAGCCGAAAGGUGAAAUCGAUGGAAAGCUGGUUAAUAUUCCAGCCCCUAGUUGCUAGGGAAGGUGUGACGCAUUGGGUUGUGUGUAUGCUUUCUAUAUGGGAGUUUAACAAACAAGUCGUCUCUAACCAAAAGGUUGGAGGGGUAGUAUAGGAGAAUCCGUGCUACUUAAGACGAGUUUGGAAUAAGACCUGCAUUAAGUAGGGAAUACAUAGAUCUGGUGCCAAGAAAAACAUCUACCAUUAAUAGUAACUAGCCCGUACCAAGAACUAACACAAGUGGGCAGGUAGAGAAUACCAAGGCGAUCGGGAUAACUAGGGAUAAGGAACUCGGCAAAUUAGCGGGCGUAACUUCGGGAUAAGCCCUGCCUGGCGAUAGUCAGGCCGCAGCGAAAGAAGCGGGGGGGACUGUUUAUCAAAAACACAGCUCUCUGCGAACUCCAAAAGAGGAGGUAUAGAGGGUGAUGCCUGUCCGGUGCCAGAAUGUUAAGCACUGGGGUGCAAGCCCUGGUGUGAAGCACUGGUGAACGACGGCCGUAACUAUGACGGUCCUAAGGUAGCGAAAUACCUUGUCAGGUAAGUUCUGACGCGCAUGAACGGCAUAACCAUCUCCACACUGUCUCAUUCCUAGACCCGGUGAAAUUACAAUCUCGGUAAAAAUGCCGAGUGGAAGCGGUUAGACGGAAAGACCCUGUGAAGCUUUACUGUAGCUUGGUAUUGGGUCGGGAUACAUCAUGCGCAGAAUAGGUGGGAGACUGAGAAGUUUGGGUUCUGGCUCAGAUGGAGUCAAUAGUGAGAUACCACCCAUGGUGUGUUUUGGCUCUAACCCCAGAAGACUGGGGGACAGUGCCUGGUAGGCAGUUUACCUGGGGCGGGAGCCUCCUAAAGAGUAACGGAGGCGUACAAAGGUUGGCUUAGUACGGAUGGAAACCGUGCAGGACGUGUAUUCGCAAAAGCUAGCUUGACUGUGAGACUGACAGGUCGAACAGAGUGGAAACACGGUGAAAGUGAUCCGGAUCUUCCGAGUGGAAGGGGAUCCGCUCAACGGAUAAAAGCUACUCCGGGGAUAACAGGCUAAUGGGAUCCAAGAGUUCACAUCGACGAUCCCGUUUGGCACCUCGAUGUCGGCUCGUCGCAUCCUGGGGCUGUAGUAGGUCCCAAGGGUUGGGCUGUUCGCCCAUUAAAGCGGGACGCGAGCUGGGUUCAGAACGUCGUGAGACAGUUCGGCCCCUAUCUACCGUGCUCGUAUGCGACUUGAGGGGAUGUGCUCCUAGUACGAGAGGACCGGAGCGCACUGGCCGCUGGUGAACCAGUUGUCCGAGAGGGCACAGCUGGGUAGCUAAGCCGGGAAAGGAUAACCACUGAAAGCAUCUAAGUGGGAAGCUAACCCCAAGAUAAGGUUGCACAAUCGGCACCUUCGAGACUAGGAGGUUGAUAGGCUGGCGGUGUAAGCCUGGACAACAGGUUUAGCUGACCAGUACUAACAAGCCGAACGGACUUUA
rnacentral:rRNA from 1 species